ACAGGACAGAAUAUACACAGGACACCGCCUUUCAUUUACUCACACAGUCUAAAACUUGGCAUGCUGUGUGAUUAGACAUAACAUCAGAGUGCACGUCUCCAAAUGUUACUCCCUCACCUCUCCGAUGGUGUUGCUCACAUACUGGUCGAUUGCGUUGGCCAUCUCUGCUCUCUUCACACCACUGCGAAACUUCAUGCUCAGGACUCGAGGGUGGUGCCUGAGCCACCAGUUGUCAGCUUUGUCACCCGCCAGCCGAGUGCA